UACGUAGGUGGCGAACGUUAUCCGGAAUUACUGGGCGUAAAGGGUCCGCAGGCGGGUCGCCAAGUCCGGCGUGAAAGCUCCCGGCUCAACUGGGAGAGGGCGUUGGAAACUGGCGGUCUUGAAUCUCACAGAGGUCGGUGGAAUUCCCGGUGUAGUGGUGGAAUGCGUAGAGAUCGGGAGGAACCUCGAAAGCGAAGGCAACCGGCUGGGUGAAGAUUGACGCUGAGGGACGAAAGCGUGGGGAGCGAACAGGAUUAGAAACCCCCGUAGUCC
rnacentral:rRNA from 1 species